CCCAGACAGGGCACCGUCUGUGGCCCCGGGGGUUGAGGACCUCUGGCUUCAACAACAGAAAUGUACCACCUUAUAGUUCUGGAGGCCACAGUCUGAGAUCCAGGGAGGGAAUUGGGAUCUGAAGACGUGCAGUCGAGGUCUCGGGGCUCCUGAUGAGCAGCCUCGGCCUGACCUGGGGCAGGUGUGAUGUCUGUGGCUCACCAUUUCCACUCUGCCUGCUGUGGAAUCUCCAUCACAGCGACAGGUGCUUUGGAGGCCGGAGUGCAUGAGUACGGGCCCUGCACACGCUGAAUGUCACUGGGAACACAGACACACCCCGCUUCCAGGAGAAGAUAGAACACAUCGGCCCCUUUUGCUUUCGCUCUGUUGCCCAGGCUGGAGUUCAGUCAGCCUCGAACUCACAGGCUUAGGUGAUCCUCCCACCUCAGCCUCCUCAGUAGCUGGGACUACAGAGCCAUCCCCAGUGCAGGACAUGUUGUUGACUUGCACGAGACAAAUACCUACUUGGAAAUCAGAUUUUUUCUGUACCUUUUGAAGGAGCAGGAAUUUCCCAGAAUUUCCUGGACAAAGACAGAGGCUCCUGGGGCCUACAGAAAGGAGCUGGAGGUGCCUAGUGCAGGCUGGGAGGCCUCCGUUAUUGAGAUGACAUCCCUGGAUGCUGGUGGGGAUUGGGGGGAACGCUGCCUCCCUGGAAUAGAAGAUGCCUUGGAAGCCCUGGGUGCAGGCUGGCCGGCCCUGCCUGAGCCGCCUCUCUUCAUUCCAUAGCUCUGCUUUUAGAGGAGGAAGUUAGGCAGACAUGAGUGGCGCCCACCAGCCCAGGAAUGGCAGGUGACCAUCAGGUGAUGGUCAGGCA
rnacentral:lncRNA from 1 species